GACGAACGCUGGCGGUGUGCUUCACACAUGCAAGUCGAACGAGGUAGCAAUACCUAGUGGCGGACGGGUGAGUAACGCGUGGGAAUCUGCCUUUAGAUGGGGGAUAACGGGUCGAAAGACUCGCUAAUACCGCAUAUGACGAAAGUUGAAAGGAGUAAUCCGUCUAAAGAUGAGCCCGCGUCCGAUUAGCUAGUUGGUAGAGUAAAAGCCUACCAAGGCGACGAUCGGUAGCUGGUCUGAGAGGAUGAUCAGCCACAAUGGGACUGAGACACGGCCCAUACUCCUACGGGAGGCAGCAGUGGGGAAUUUUACGCAAUGGGCGAAAGCCUGACGUAGCGACACCGCGUGAGCGAAGAAGCCCCUUGGGGUGUAAAGCUCUGUCAGCUGGAACGAAAAAAUGACGGUACCAGCAGAGGAAGCAUCGGCUAACUACGUG
rnacentral:rRNA from 1 species